AAAGCUGAGCGCUGAAGGCUUGAACGCUCAGAGCGCUGCUUUCGAGCGUCACAUUCACCGGGAACUACAAGGAGAACAAGAUGACGACUCCUAACACUGACUUUAUGACUGUUGGAAAUAACAGCCCUGCCAACACAUUCCUUGACUCAGAGUUUCGUUACACUCUCUUUCCUAUAUUCUAUGGACUGGUCUUUCCCUUGGGGUUGAUGGCCAACUGCUACGCUCUUUAUGUGCUGCACCAUAUGCGGGAGUGUAAAGCCAUGAAUGAGAUUCGAAUCUACAUGACCAAUUUGACUGUUGCAGACCUGCUGUUUGUGGUCGCUCUACCGUUCUGGAUUGACUACUACAAGAAUCACGGCAACUGGAGGAGCCCAGAAUUCCUCUGUAGUAUCACAGGCUCUCUUUUCUUCAUCAACACAUACUGCUCUAUUCUCUUCCUUGCUGUCAUCAGCAUUAACCGUUACUGGGCCGUUACCAGGCCACUGGUGGCUGCUUCUUCUGAUUCCUGGAAACGUGGAGCAAUCAUCUCAGCGCUCAUCUGGGUCAUCACUCUUGCAGCUUCAAUUAAAUAUCUCACUAAUACGGGAAUCCAGAAGGACAAUAACAUUUCUCGCUGUUUUGAGGGUUAUCAAAACGAGGAAAACUCUACAAUAAACACAGUGGCCGUCACCCACUUCAUCAUUAUUGCCGUGUUCUUUCUUGUUUUCUUGAUGGUGAUUGUCUGCAACAUUUUGAUUGCUCGAGCUCUUCUAAAGCAGCCCAUCAGUCAGCCUCGAGCCAGCACAGGAAAGCGUCCCGGUGGUACUAAGCGCAGAGCUUUGAGGAUGCUGUGUACUGUCAUAGGCGUCUUUGUGAUCUGUUUCCUCCCCCACCACGUGGUGCAGGGACCCUGGGUGUUGUCUGUGCUGCACUUGAGGAAAGAUUGGGAAGACAAAACUCACCAAAGAUUAAACGAUGCUCACCAGAUCACCCUCAUGCUUAUGGGGCUCAAUUGCCUACUGGACCCGCUGGUGUAUUGCUUCGCCACUACAAUGUUCCGCAAGUACAUCCAGAACCAUUUCACAAAGGUCAAGCAAAGCAAAAACUGUUCACACAACACAUUAAGCACAGCUAUGUCACUGAAGAGCAGACAUCAGAGUGAAAAAUGAAGAUCAGAAAACUGCUGAGAAAUAUUUGGUGUCUGCUUAUUUUAGCAAAUUGUAAUCUUAUAUACUGUAGAUUAGAAAACUGCUGAAAAAUAUUUAUUGUCUGCUUAUUUUAACAAUAUUUAUUUAUUGUCUGCUUUAUUUAUUUAGAUUCUAGUGGAAAUUAAUUUCAAUUCCAAAUUAGGUUCUGUUUGGAUUCUUAAAGGAAUAGUUCAUCUAAAAAUGAAAAUACUGUCAUCAUUUACUCAACCUCAUAUUGUUCCAAAGGAGUUACCGUGAGACUGGGCAAAUGAUGACAGAACUUUCAUUUUUAGGUAAACCAUCCCUUUAAAUGGUAAUCAAAUUAUUGACAUGAUCUUCAGUUGCUGCCCUUUGCAGAUAAACGAGAUAAUUCCAUCUCUUCAAAUUGUUCAAUGCAUAUGAUAAAUGCUUUAUAUACUGAAAUAUUAAGCUUCUUCCACCUGAUAUUUGAUUCAUGUAUUGUAAUAUUGUCUUUUAAAGAAAAAAAUCACCGAAAAAGGAAUGUGCAUGAUGCCUUUAAAUGUUUGCACUUGUGUAAGUGAAAUAUCUAUAUUGGUUAGAAAAGCAUAUUAUCUGUAAAAGGGUUGUUAUUUUUGAUAAGAUGUGGUGUUCAUUCUUGUGUUAAACAAAUGAAAACAUGAUGUCAUAUCAGUAGACAGUCUUCUCUAGAAUAAGGAUGACAAAUGAGCCAAGAGGAUGCUGUGGUAGUUCUGACCAAACCAAGAGGUGAUAAGAACAGAAGACAGCUCAAUUGUUAUUUUAGACAAUGCAGAUGACAGAGCUUCACUGUCUAUCUUAAAUAAGGGAGAGAUUGUGGUGCUGCUGAGGAGUUUGGAAUAUCAGGAAUAUAAAUUGCUCUUCGUCAAAUUGCUCUUGAUAGUUUAUUUCUGCCUCAUGUUAAUAUGACAACACAUAUUUAUUGUACUACGUUGGUUGUUUUGAAGUAGCUCUGUGAGGAGCAUUCCUGUGGGCCAGUUCUUAUGCCACAAAGGAAACCCAAGUAUUAUUUUGCAGUGGUUUGAUUUCCAGAAUGGGGAACUUGAACCACACAUCCCCUGGAAAUGUGCACUUAAACUUUGAAAUUACCAAUAAACUGCCCUUUUCUUGAUCUCUUAUAUCUUUUUACAAGAUAUUUAUAUCUUUCUUUUUAUAUGUAAGGAUUUGCAAAUCCAGACUUUUAAGAAAAUAUGUGUUUAAAUUCCCAGUAAUAUCUUGCCAUUUUUCUAUUGUUUAAUUAACAAGGUGUGUACAUGACCUUGGAAUUAUAAGGUUCUAUUUGAUAUUUUUGUCAAAAUUUAGUUAUUCACAUAUUCUUAUUCAGGGACAACUUAUUUAUAUUAUGUGAUAAAUUUUUUAAUGUUCUGUACAGUUUGGGCCUUUUAUUUAAAUAAACAACAAAGUUGUAUCUAUAUAGUCGAAUGGAAUGCAAAAACAUUGAAGCUCAAAAUCUCAAAACUACUCGGAAUGCAGAUAGAACCUUAUAAUUCCAAGGGGACGCUGUGUGUUUUAUGGUGGUCCUUUAGACAAUUAUUCAAUCAUGUUUAUUUCCUUGUUGCAUUAGCACAUUGUAAAAUAACAUAAUGCUUGUAUGACAGCUGCUUCUGCUGAAUCUUUCUCAGCAAUUAACUUCUACAUUAAGCAGGAAGUUUUGCAAGAUGGUGUUGUACAGUCCUUUUUGUU